GUGUAGCAAUACAUGAGUAAAGCGGCGCACGGGUGAGUAACACGUGGGUAAUCUGCCCUCGAGUGGGGAAUAACACCGGGAAACCGGUGCUAAUACCGCAUACGAUCACGAUUCCUUCGGAUUUUGUGAUGAAAGGAGCAAUUCGCUCUUGGAGGAGCCCGCGGCUGAUUAGCUAGUUGGUGAGGUAAUGGCUCACCAAGGCAACGAUCAGUAGCCGGUCUGAGAGGACGGUCGGCCACACUGGAACUGAGACACGGUCCAGACUCCUACGGGAGGCAGCAGUGGGGAAUUUUUCGCAAUGGGGGCAACCCUGACGAAGCAACGCCGCGUGGAUGAUGAAGUAUCUCGGUACGUAAAAUCCUUUCGACAGGGAAGAAACCGCAAGGUUGACGGUACCUGUAGAAGAAGCCCCGGCUAACUCCGUGCCAGCAGCCGCGGUAAUACGGGGGGGGCAAGCGUUGUUCGGAAUUACUGGGCGUAAAGGGCGCGUAGGCGGUUCGCUAAGUUGAAUGUGAAAACUCUGGGCUUAACCCAGAGCCUGCAUUCAAUACUGGCGGGCUAGAGUUCUGGAGGGGAUAGCGGAAUUCCUGGUGUAGCGGUGAAAUGCGUAGAUAUCAGGAGGAACACCGGUGGCGAAGGCGGCUAUCUGGACAGAGUCUGACGCUGAGGCGCGAAAGCUAGGGGAGCAAACAGGAUUAGAUACCCUGGUAGUCCUAGCCCUAAACGAUGGAUACUUGCUGUGACUGGGAUUGAAUCCAGUCGUGGCGAAGCUAACGCAUUAAGUAUCCCGCCUGGGGAGUACGGUCGCAAGGCUG
rnacentral:rRNA from 1 species